rnacentral:rRNA from 1 species
UAAAUACUACUGAGAGACCGAUAGUGAACCAGUACCGUGAGGGAAAGGUGAAAAGGACCCCGGACAGGGGAGUGAAACAGUACCUGAAACCGUACGCCUACAAGCGGUUGGAGCCGGAUUUUUCCGGUGACAGCGUGCCUUUUGCAUAAUGAGCCUACGAGUCAGUCAUCACCAGCGAGGUUAAGGCAUAGAGUGCCGGAGCCGAAGCGAAAGCGAGUCUAAACAGGGCGGCUAUAGUUGGUGGUGCUGGACGCGAAACCUUUGUGAUCUACCCAUGUCCAGGUUGAAGUUUCGGUAACACGAAAUGGAGGACCGCACCAGGGAGCGUUGAAAAGCUCUUGGAUGAGGUGUGGGUAGGGGUGAAAGGCCAAUCAAACUGGGAAAUAGCUCGUACUCCCCGAAAUGCAUUUAGGUGCAGCGUUGAAACAGUCUCUGUGAGGUAGAGCUACUGAUUGGAUGCGAGGGCUUCACCGCCUAUCAAAUCCAGACAAACUCCGAAUACGCAGAGAUGUUUUUCAGCAGUGAGGGCGCGGGUGCUAAGGUCCGUGCCCGAGAGGGAAAUAACCCUGAUCAACCGCUAAGGUCCCCAAGUGUAUGUUAAGUUGGAAAAACGAAGUUUGAUUGCACAGACAGCUAGGAUGUUGGCUUGGAAGCAGCCAUUCAUUUAAAGAGUGCGUAACAGCUCACUAGUCGAGCGAUCGGGCGUGGAUAAUAAUCGGGCAUCAAACAUACCACCGAAGCGAUGAUAUAGGCAGUUAACUGUCGAUAGGUAGGGGAGCAUUCCAUUACAGCAGUGAAGGGAUACUGUGAGGUAUCCUGGAGCGGAUGGAAAAGCAAAUGUAGGCAUAAGUAACGACAAAGGAGGUGGGAACCCCCCUCGCCGAAAGACUAAGGUUUCCUGAUCAACGAUAAUCGGAUCAGGGUAAGUCGGUUCCUAAGGUAAAGCCGAGAGGCGUCACUGAUGGGAAAUCGGUUAAUAUUCCGAUACUUUUUUAUACUGCGAAGCGGUGACGAAGUGAUGACAGGUCCGCGUACAGACGGAAUAGUACGUUAAAGGAGUGUAGGUGAUGAAGGGUACAGGCAAAUCCGUACCCUGAGCUGAACUCUGACAGUACCGUGCGCCUUCGGGCAAGCGGACAGUGGCCGUAAGGGCUUCCGAGAAAAGCUGCUAAGCUACAGGUAUAAAGAAACCGUACCGUAAACCGACACAGGUAGUUGGGGAGAGGAUCCUGAGGCGCUCGAGUGAUCCAUGGCUAAGGAACUAGGCAAAAUCGACCCGUAACUUCGGGAUAAGGGUCGCCCGCUGCGAGGCGGGCCGCAGAAAAGAGGCCCAUGCGACUGUUUAUCAAAAACACAUGGCUUUGCGAAAUCGGAAGAUGAAGUAUAAGGCCUGACACCUGCCCGGUGCCGGAAGGUUAAGUGGGGAUGUUAUCGCAAGAGAAGCAUUGAAAUGAAGCCCCGGUAAACGGCGGCCGUAACUAUAACGGUCCUAAGGUAGCGAAAUUCCUUGUCGGGUAAGUUCCGACCUGCACGAAUGGUGUAACGAUGUGGGCACUGUCUCAGCCAUGAGCUCGGUGAAAUUGUAGUAUCGGUGAAGAUGCCGAUUACCCGCAACGGGACGGAAAGACCCCGUGAACCUUUACUGCAGCUUCACAUUGAUUCUGGGUAAGUGAUGUGUAGGAUAGGACGGAGGCAAUGAAGCGGGUUCGCCAGGAUCCGCGGAGCCGUUGUUGAAAUACGUCCCUUUGCUUGCCCGGGACCUAAUCCCGGAAACGGGAGACCGUGUGUGGUGGGUAGUUUGACUGGGGUGGUCGCCUCCAAAAGCGUAACGGAGGCUUCCAAAGGUACCCUCAUGACGGUUGGUAAUCGUCAGGAGAUUGUAAUGGAAUAAGGGUGCUUGACUGUGAGACCAACAAGUCGAUCAGGUGGGAAACCAGGGCAUAGUGAUCCGGUGGUUCCGAAUGGAAGGGCCAUCGCUCAAAGGAUAAAAGGUACUCCGGGGAUAACAGGCUGAU